CCCCGUGGAGAGCAAUCCUAGAGAGAGGGAAGCAUGGGUCAGAAUAAGGUGUACUGGCCCCAGGGAGCCCUUCCUUGCUUUUGGUAGACCUGCAAGAACAAACCCAUUGAGAUGGCUACAGAAUGAGAAGGGAAGCUUUUUCAUGGUGUAAGAAGUAAGAAAAAUUGAUUAGGAAGAACUCUGUGGGUAAGGAGAAAGAAAACCUACUAGGAGACCAUUAUUGCAGUGAAGAGCAUAGAACAAGGCUCUCUGGAAACUUAAGGGAAUCAUAAUAUGCCUGAGAAAACAUAAACAAAAAUUAUCUUAAUGACAAAUAAGUGCUUCGGAAAUAAACAAAGGCCAAAAUCUGUUAGAGAUGGUAGGUAGACAGCUCUCAUAUUUCCGUGGAUUGCAUCCUCAUGAAGGAUUUUCAACUUGUCUUUCAUUUUGAAAUUGAAUAAAUAUUGGAAUGCAUUAUCAUCCACCCUCCCUACAUUCAUCUAUAAAAGGAGACAUGACAGAUGUAAAGUUCCUAUCAAUAUGUGAACAGCAGAGGGAAAAAUGAGGCUGCACCCUGAAUUGAAGUGAUCCUAUCUCUUUAAGCCUCUUUCACACUGGAGAGCUACAGGAAGCCUGAGUUUGAAAUCAUUUGGUCCAGACAGAAGAGGAGAAGCAAGGACCGAGUGUCAUGAAGAGGGAAACAUUGCCAGACUGUCAGAGGUUACCUAAUAUCCUUUGAUGGGUUUCCUCCUGUUUCCCUGAAUCUGGGAUGACUGUCCCCUUGAACUGCUCCGGUAUCUUAGCCAAUGGACAAUGUAUUGUUACUCCCCUCCUUAUCUAUUCGUGGUUUUUGCACACAUACCAUGAACUCAUAAGUGUUGAAGGAUCUCGACGUGUAAAAAUAUUUGUAAGAACAAGUUCAGUGACUAGAAAUUUGCUAGCUGGUUUGAAAUAAAGAGAUACACAUAAAACUAUAUUAUGAACUGGGAUCACCCAAAUUAUCUUCUGCAGGACAUUAUUCUACUAGAAAAUAUGGACAAAAUCAUAAGGACAAUUGUCAGUUUGAUGCUGACAAAAUUUUGUAAAAUUCCUUAUAUUAAAACCACUCUUCACUAUUAGCAGGAGACUACACAUGUUCUAAUGGUCUGAGAAAUAC
rnacentral:lncRNA from 1 species